GACGAACGCUGGCGGCGUGCUUAACACAUGCAAGUCGAACGGAAAGGCCCUGCUUUUGUGGGGUGCUCGAGUGGCGAACGGGUGAGUAACACGUGAGUAACCUGCCCUUGACUUUGGGAUAACUUCAGGAAACUGGGGCUAAUACCGGAUAGGAGCUCCUGCUGCAUGGUGGGGGUUGGAAAGUUUCGGCGGUUGGGGAUGGACUCGCGGCUUAUCAGCUUGUUGGUGGGGUAGUGGCUUACCAAGGCUUUGACGGGUAGCCGGCCUGGGAGGGUGACCGGGCCCAGUGGGGAAGGGGAGGCGGCCGGGGCGCUUAGGGGGGGAGGGGGGGGGGAUUUUGGGAGAAGGGCCGGGGGAGGGAUGAAGGACGGCGGCGGGGGGAAGGCCGGCUUUGGGGUAGAAAACCGGUUUCGCUUGUGACGAAGGGUGGGUGGGGAUAAGGGGAAAAAGAGCCCGGGAAACCUGCG
rnacentral:rRNA from 1 species